UACAGAGGGUGCAAGCGUUGUUCGGAAUUAUUGGGCGUAAAGGGAGUGUAGGCGGCUUGUUAAGUCUUCUGUGAAAUCUACGGGCUUAGCCUGUAACGUGCAGAGGAAACUGGCGAGCUUGAGUGUCGGAGAGGGUAGCGGAAUUCCCGGUGUAGAGGUGAAAUGCGUAGAUAUCAGGAGGAACACCUGCGGUGUAGACGGCUUACUGGACCAUAACUGACGCUGAGGCACGAAAGCGUGGGUAGCAAACAGG
rnacentral:rRNA from 1 species